UACGUAGGGGGCAAGCGUUGUCCGGAUUCAUUGGGCGUAAAGAGCGUGUAGGCGGCCUGGUAGGUCAGUUGUGAAAACUCGAGGCUCAACCUCGAGACGCCGAUUGAAACCAUCAGGCUAGAGUCCGGAAGAGGAGAGUGGAAUUCCCGGUGUAGCGGUGAAAUGCGCAGAUAUCGGGAAGAACACCCGUGGCUAAGGCGGCUCUCUAGUACGGUACUGACGCUGAGACGCGAAAGCGUGGGGAGCGAACAGG
rnacentral:rRNA from 1 species